rnacentral:rRNA from 1 species
AACAAACGCUGGCGGCGUGCCAAAUACAUGCAAGUCGAACGGGGUAGCAAUACCUAGUGGCGCACGGGUGAGGAACGCGUGGAUAAUCUGCCUUAGAGUGGGGGAUAACUAGUCGAAAGAUUAGCUAGUACCGCAUAAGACCACAGGAGCUGCGGCUCUAGGGGUCAAAGGUUUUUCGCUCUAAGAUGAGUCCGCGUAAGAUUAGCUAGUUGGUGAGGUAACGGCUCACCAAGGCGACGAUCUUUAACUGGUCUGAGAGGAUGAUCAGUCACACUGGAACUGAGACACGGUCCAGACUCCUACGGGAGGCAGCAGUAGGGAAUAUUGCACAAUGGAGGAAACUCUGAUGCAGCGACGCCGCGUGAGUGAUGAAGGCCUUCGGGUCGUAAAGCUCUGUCGCAGGGGAAUAACACAAUGAAUGUACCCUGUAAGAAAGGAUCGGCUAACUUCGUGCCAGCAGCCGCCGUAACAC